rnacentral:rRNA from 1 species
UACGGAGGAUCCAAGCGUUAUCCGGAAUUACUGGGCGUAAAGAGUUGCGUAGGCGGCAUAGUAAGUAGGUAGUGAAAUGACGGGGCUCAACCCCGUGUCCAUUAUCUAAACUGCUAAGCUAGAGUAUGAGAGAGGUACCUGGAAUUUCCUGUGUAGGAGUGAAAUCCGUAGAUAUAGGAAGGAACACCGAUGGCGUAGGCAGGGUACUGGCUCAUUACUGACGCUCAGGCACGAAAGCGUGGGGAGCGACCGGG